AUGCAAGGGCUUUUGAGGGAUCGCACAAGUGACUUAACAUUUCAAGAGGCUUACGACAUAACUGGCCGUGUUCUUGGGGUCACAGUUUGCUCUCCUAGACAAAAUGAGCCACCUCGCUGCCUCAACUACCUGACAUCACCAUAUGUUGUCAUUUGGAGUUCUGUAACUGCCUCAUUCCCGGGCCUCUUUGAAGCUCGGGAGUUGAUGGCAAAGGAUAAGAUUUUGCCACACAGUUCCCUUCGACGUGCCCUUUGCCACAGAUCCAGAACGGAGUCCUGGAGCAUCCAAACGCCGGUGGAGGGACGGAAGUCUGGAGAUGGAUUUGCCAAUGAUGCAACUGAAGGAGCUGUUCAAUGUAAAUCAUUUCAUUGUCAGCUAAACUAA
rnacentral:rRNA from 1 species